rnacentral:tRNA from 1 species
GUAGGUAUAGUUUUAACGAAAACAUUAGAUUGUGAUUCUAAAAAUAAGGGUUAAAACCCCUUUUCCCACC